AGGGAGAGGGAGAGGGAGAGGGAGAGGGAGAGGGAGACAGACAAUCCAGGAUUAUUCAAGUGGGCCCAGUGACAUCACAAGGGCCCUGAAAAGAUGGAAGAGGCAGGAGUGUCAGCAUCAGAGUGGGGACAUGAGGACCCAGAGUGGGGACAUGAGGACCCAUGUGGACCCAUUGUUGGCUUUGAAGAUGAAAAGGGGCCAUGAACCAAGGAAUGUUGGUGGGCUCAAGAAAUCAGAAAAGGCAAAAAAAGAUGACAGAUUCACCUCAAGAGGUUCCAGAAUGAAUGCAGUCCUGCCAGCACCAUGAUGUGAGCCCAUUGAGACCUGACCUCUGACCUCCAGAAUUACAUCUCCAAGCGAGUGGGCAACAAGAUGCAGGGCUCAUCUGCAGCCCCCAUCCUGGCCCUGCCCCAUCCAACACAGCCACUUCCUAAAAUCGGGGACCUGCACUUCGUAAUCUGAGUCUAAAGGGCAAGGGGCAUUUACCAAAGACUCUGAGAAAACUUCUAAAGUCCUACUAGCGCCACUUGGUUCCCACCAAAAGGAUCUUCAGCAAUUGAAAGUUAAAUGAAUUUCUCAUACAUUCAUCCAACCCAGGAUGGUAGCUGGUCAGCUUUGUGGCAUGAUUUAAAGGCUCUGAAAAAACCACACUGCCCCAAAA